UGGGGAAAAGGCUGCUGGAGCUGCUGCUGGCUAGACAGAAGUGUCUUCUGGCUCAGAUGCAUGGUUUUAUCUCUGGUUAGAAGUAAACUCCAUGGGGACUACUCUGUGUGUGGGGUGGGAGGUGUCACUGGCUUGUGAUGCUGAAUGUGCUCUAAGACAGGACCUGGGAAGUUCUCUGGCCUUGUUGCAGAGGCUUGUCUGCAUACGACUCUGCGCUGCUUSACUCGUGCUGGGAACAUCUCCGUGCUGCGGAGGCUGCGUUCACACCAGUACCACCUUAACUACUGUGGAUCCUCCRCUCUGAUUUUGAGCAUGCAGACCCUCCGUAGGGCUUUCUAGAGAGUCCAUCCCUGGAUCCUUUGGCUGCUUUUAUUAAAACCAUACAGGCAGCAGUCCUGAUCUUGACUGGAGCAUCGGCAGAACUGAAUGAUGCCAUUGUUACUACUGAUUGAAAGGGUGCUUUUACCCUGGCUCAAAUGUUGUGUCUGCUUUUAAAUGGAAAAUGUUUCCUAACACUGAAUAAUAUAGUAACA